rnacentral:misc_RNA from 1 species
UAUAGGCCCUCAGGGGAGAAAGGAGAG